AACGGAAAAGCUAGAUGUCUCUAGCAAACAAGGAUAUUUUCGGUGUUCUCAGGGGAAAGUGUAGUGAGUGCGAAGAUUGCAAAGAAUAUAUAACCGAAAACGAACGUCACCACCGCAGCCCUAAUUCACACACUUCAUACACUGGGAUCCCACAUGCAGGUUCACAUAUACCGUCACCAGCGCAAUGCAGUACCUCACAAACUCGUCCCAGAGCGCCUCCAACGCUGAUAACGCAGUAAUGUAGUGUCUCCUGCGUUACUGUACACUCAUAUUCCUCAAGGUUGUGUGCGUUUUAUGUAAUACUGUAUUGCCAUUUGCGCUCGCCUCUGCAACAGGAAUGUGGAAUAAAUUUUUUUCUGCUGCAAUU